AGUGCUCAUAUUCUAUGGGUGUAAACGUGUCUGUCAUGCAAUGGCAUUAGCAUUCAGAACGAGGAAUUUUUAUAAUCAUCGCUGCCAA
rnacentral:snoRNA from 1 species